rnacentral:rRNA from 1 species
AGCUCCAAUAGCGUAUAUUAAAGUUGUUGCAGUUAAAAAGCUCGUAGUUGGCCUUGUGGGAAGGGUUGUGGUCCGAUUUUCGGUACCGCGACCCGGCCCAUCAUUGGACUAAGCCAUGAUGCCAUUAACUUGGUGUUGUGGGGCGGUUCAACGUUUACUGUGAGAAAAUCAGAGCGUUCAAAGCAAGCGGUAAUGCUAUGAAUGUGUUAGCAUGGAAUAAUGAGAUAGGGCCUCGGUGCUAUUUCGUUGGUUUGCGCGUUGAGGCAAUGACUAAUAGGGACAGUUGGGGGUAUUGGUAUCACAUGGCCAGGGGUGAAAUCUAAAAAUCCAUGUGCGACCAACUACUGCGAAAGCAUUUACCAAGGAUGUUUUCA